rnacentral:rRNA from 1 species
UACGUAGGGCCCGAGCGUUACCCCGGAUUUACUGGGCGUAAAGUGCGCGUAGGCGGGGCUCUAAGCCGGGCGUGAAAGCCCCGGGCGUCAACUCGGAGAGGCCGUCCAAUACUGCGGGGCGUAGAGGAUGUCAGAGGAAGGUGGAAUUCCUGGUGUAGUGGUGAAAUGCGUAGAUAUCAGGAGGAACACCCGUGGCGAAGGCGGCCUUCUGGGGCAUUCCUGACACUGAGAAGCGAAAGCUAGGGGAGCAAACAGGAUUAGAAACCCG